AAAAGCAGGGGAUCGCAAGACCUUGCGCUUUUGGAGCGGCCGAUGUCUGAUUAGCUAGUUGGUGAGGUAAAGGCUUACCAAGGCUUCGAUCAGUAGCUGGUCUGAGAGGACGACCAGCCACACUGGGACUGAGACACGGCCCAGACUCCUACGGGAGGCAGCAGUGGGGAAUUUUGGACAAUGGGGGAAACCCUGAUCCAGCCAUGCCGCGUGAGUGAAGAAGGCCUUCGGGUUGUAAAGCUCUUUCAGCCGGAACGAAACGGUCACGGUUAAUACCCGUGAUCACUGACGGUACCGGAAGAAGAAG
rnacentral:rRNA from 1 species